GUCGAAGAAAUCGUUGUCGAAGUCAUUAAAACUCACUUCUACCUUUUAAUCAAAGGGGACGAUAGAGAUGUAUCCUUGGUUCUCCAUUUCUGAAUCCUGAUUUCUUCAGUUUGAUAUACAUCUUCUCGAGCGCCUGUCGGUUCGGUUCGUACGAAACGGACUUCGGAAGGGAAAACCGACAUGGGUCAGAGUUCCGUCUGUUCAACAGAAGAACAUGUCGCUUCUCCAAAUCCCUGCGUGAUCGAACCCUUUCUCCAAGUCCGAAGCUUCAGAGCAAAUAUGAUGACGUGGGAAAGAGCCGAAAUCAACUAGCCGUUGGAGUUGGAGGUACUAUGAUGACGUGGUAAAUGAAAUCAUCCAGUAAAAUAAUAAAUGAAAAUUAGUAGUGCCUGUAAACAUUUCCUCUCUAUUUAUCUUAAAAAGAGAGUUACAGUCAUAAUCAGAAACGGCAUUGGGUUUCAAAAUUCAAAUUUCGAGAUUGGAGCGGAGCCCAAGAUCGAUCAAGAAUUGCAGUUUUUCCGGCGAAUCGUCUCCAUUAAUCCAGAAGAAUCGCAGAUGCCUCUGGCGUUGCCCACAUGCUUCAAGACCGAGAUUCUCACGUCACCUGUUUCAGGGCAUCACAGAUUCGCGAAGCGGGACACUGGGUUUGCUGUGCCGACAAGGAUACAGCACAGUGUCCGAACCGACGAUGACCGCAAGAGGCUGAAAACUCCAGGCUCUUUUACUUUCAGGCGAUUCUGACGAAAAGAGUCCGAGACGCUCAAUCAAGACCUUUUUGACGCCAUCACCCCCCUCGACCGCGGCGCCGCUGCCAUGCCCGAUGACAAGAUCCGUGUUGAUCAGGUCCUCUUUUCCUUUCCUUUUGAUUCACAGUGUGGCCUUGAUAGACUGGAACAAGAACGUGUCAGGGUACACUACGAUGAUUUCCUCAAAUUCGUCUCUAUUGCCAAUGCAAUACUACUUAAAUGUAGAGUGUAUAUGUUUUGCAUAUUAUUUGCCCUCUUUGAAAAGCUCCAGAACCUCGUAGAACACUUGCUUGUUAGAUUUUCAUCACUGUUUUGAUCUUGUAUUGGUGUGUAGCCCCUUCCUCCUACGGUUUGAUGGGGUUGAUUAGCAAACAUGUGGGUAACAUGUGCAGAGGAAGAUGAUAUCUGGAGUUGGGUACUUUUCUUUUUCCUCCUCUUCAAAGUUCAAUUUCUUAUUUUGUUAGGAGACCUGCCUUCUUCUUCCUCAGUUAGCUUCUGGAAUAUGAUGAUCCACAGGCAAACACCCUCUAAGUAACUCUCUCUUUUAUGGGAUAGUUUUAAUCUGUUUCUUUAAUGAUCAUGAUUAUGCUGCUUUUUUAUGUCUCGGAUGAUAUGUGGUUGAGUUGUAACCGGAUGUACAUUAGGAACCAACAAGAAUCUGAUUGACAAAACUUGGUAUAUAUUGAAAAUGAAUAUAUUUUGUAUUUUAUUUGCCUUGUGUUAAAAGCUUCAGAAACUCUUAGAACACUUGUUAGAUUUGCAUUGCUGUUGUUAUGACCGUUUAUUGAUGCAUAGCUUCUUCCACCUAAGAUUUUCAUGGGGUUGAGUUUGUUGCUAAGAAAACAUCUGCCGAGGGAGACAAUAUCUGAAGCUAGGUACUUCUCUUUCUUCUCUUCAAAAUUCAAGGCAAGCCGAACUGUCUUCUUACUCAGUUAGCUUCUAGAAUCUGAUUUUCAACAAGGAAUUGACAUCAGAUUCUAUAAGCAUAUAACUCCCUCUGUUGUGUUACCUUUACCUUUUCGAGAAAGUUUUAGUUUUUUUUAUUAUUAUUAUGACCAUGCUGCCUUUUUAUACUUCGGAUGAUCUGUUUUCGUGAAAGUUUUAGUCUUUUAGACUUGCUUGUUAGAUUUUCAUCGCUGUUAUAAGCUUCAAAAACUCGUAGAACACUUGCUUGUUAGAUUUUCAUUGUUGUUGUUCUGAUCGUUUAGUGAUGUGUAGCUUCUUCCUCCUAAAGGUCUCAUGUGGUUGACUUUGGUCCAAAGAAAGCAAGAGGGGAGAAAGCAAACAUACAAUUGCUUCCUUUCGAAUGUAUCUCGAACUUGGAUGCCAAAGGAAUGUACAAAGACGUUGACGAAACGGAUCCGACGUGUCCCAGGAUGUACAAGAAGUCAAUGAAAUCAAAUGUCAGAUGGACGUUCAACAGAGUAAAUAAACAAGAUUGACACUUAAUCAAAGGAAUCCGAAAAGCAUAUACUGGAAGAAAAUUCAUGAAUUGGAAAUUCGUUCCAGAAAGUCUUCUAAGAAGAAGAAGAAGGGAAAAAGUCUGAUAGAUGAAGAAGAAAUAGAGGAUGAGCGACGAGAAGAAGAAGAACAACAACAACAACGACAACAACUACCGCAACAAAGACUCCAACCACAAUGAAAACGACAAAGAGUAGCGGGAUUGUCAAGUCUAGAAGCACUUAAGACGAUUUGAAGGCCGAAAUAAAAACAGUCGAGAUCAAAAUCAUCGAUGUCGUGAAAGGCCUUUUAAAGGAGGUCGGGCUCAUUGGGAAAGAGCCUUAGGACAGGUCCGACGAACAAAGAGGGAUUUAUGACAAGUCAGGAGAACUUGGGGACAGAUCCAGUAGACAAGGACAGAUCUGUGUCAAGGGCCACAGUGCAGGAGAACUUGAGAAAAAAUCGAGUAGAGAAAGAAUAAUUUACGACAAGUCCUAAUUUUGGUUAUGUGGGAACCGGGGAAUAUUAUGAUCAAGAUGUUGGAGAUUAUGAGUUAAGACCUAGAGAUGUGACUCCAUGGGGUCUGAAAAAGAGAAGACUCAGGAGAAGGAGACCUCGGCCAAGAAGGAGGAGGUCUUGCUUAAGGAGAAAGAACCCUCAUCUAAGGAGAAAUGACUUUCGUCUAAGGAGAAAGAUACAUCGCGUAAGAUGCACAGUAGAAGAUCUCCCCUGGACAAAAUGGUGGUUACUGUCAUCGCGCAAGUAGGAAGAGAUGUUCCCGAAAAACCUUCGGGAGGGAAUAACAAAUAUGGAGGAGAUGUGGAUGACGAAGAAGAUGCUGAAGACGAUGAUAGUGACGAUGAUGGGACGAGGCAGCUGAAAAUGAUGUUGGCAGUGACGAAGAAGAGGAUGAGAACACGAAAAAAGAAGAUGACACCAAUGCUAAUGGGGUGAAAGCGAUGCUGACGAGGAUGAGGCAGUCGAAGAAUCUUUUGACGAGGAUAUGAGGCAGUCGAAGAAUGUUUAACAAAGAAUCUGUUGCUAAACCUGGUGAAGAUGCGGUACCAUGUCACAUGGUUCGCAUAGUACCAUGUGACCAUGUAAACAUAGUAUCAUGCGAACAUAGUAUCAUAUCAUCCUAUGUGAACCGUUAUUAUGACCAUGUAAACAUAGUAUCAUGUGAACAUAGUACUAUAUCAUCCUUGUGACCUAUGCAAACCGUUAUUCUAAUGACUCAUGACUAAUGUGGUCGUGUGGUCAUGUCACCAACUCCUGUCUAUUGUGACCCGACUAUUGUGUAACUAAUGAUUUUGUGUGUAGUGUGUACAUUGUGACCCAUAUAUACUCAUGCUGACCAUCGUGUGGUCAUGUCACCAACUCCUGUCUAUUGUGACCCG